AUUGAACGCUGGCGGCAUGCCUUACACAUGCAAGUCGAACGGUAACGCGGGACAACCUGGCGACGAGUGGCGAACGGGUGAGUAAUGUAUCGGAACGCGCCCAGUUGUGGGGGAUAACUGCUCGAAAGUUACGCUAAUACCGCAUACGACCUGAGGGUGAAAGCAGGGGAUCGCAAGACCUUGCGUUAUACGAGCGGCCGAUGUCAGAUUAGCUAGUUGGUGGGGUAAAGGCUCACCAAGCCGACGAUCUGUAGCUGGUCUGAGAGGACGACCAGCCACACUGGGACUGAGACACGGCCCAGACUCCUACGGGAGGCAGCAGUGGGGAAUUUUGGACAAUGGGCGCAAGCCUGAUCCAGCAAUGCCGCGUGCAGGAUGAAGGCCUUCGGGUUGUAAGCUGCUUUUGUACGGAGCGAAAAGGCUCUCUCUAAUACAGGGGGCUCAUGGCGGUACCGUAAGAAUAAGCACCGGCUAACUACGUGCCAGCAGCCGCAGUAA
rnacentral:rRNA from 1 species